rnacentral:lncRNA from 1 species
UGUUUAGAGCACCUUAACCUUUUGAAAAAAUUUAAUUUCAGGUAAAAAUCAAGUGUCAUGCAGGACAAUACUUUAAAAUUAUUUUUUAAACUAUCAUAUUGGGUGAGGUUUCAAAUCAAAGCAAUAGAACCCUACAGUCAAAUAUGACCUCAAAUUGAAUUGCGGAUACUUUACGUUUUAUUAUAGACUAUUUGUUGCUUUUGGUUUUUUUCACAAUUAUUACUGCUUCCAUAUAUAGUAUUAUCUGUUGUUGCGUAUUUUACUCUGGUUAAUAUCUAUUACAUUAUAACUUUUGUACCUAUAUCCCCCCUUUUUAUCCUUGCAACGUACCACAAACUUCAAAAGUAUUCCAUAUAAAAAAAAGAAGAUGUGAUAUGAUUGCAAAUGAGGCAACCAUCCAAAUGAGACAUAAAUUAACAAUAUGUCCUGUACGGGCUUCAACAAUGAGUAAAAUUUAUACUGCAUAGUCUUCAAUUCACGAAAUGAAUAUUGUAAAACAAACGAAAAAUCUAUCGACCUGAUUAAUGUACAAAAUGAAUAAGAAACAAAAAAAUAUAUUAUAAAGAAACAUACGACAAACACUGCAUUACCGUCUCGUGACUUGAAACAGACACAAACAAAAUGUGGCGGGGUUUGACUUUUUCAAGGGCACGCCAACACUCCCCAAACCCGGGGGUGGGACCGUGUGUAUCAGUUCAACAAGCUAUAUACCUAAUCAACCGUUAUCUCCAUCAUCUUCAUUUUCACCAACCGUCACAAGACAUGUUUUUAAUAUUUCUAUACAUUUCACUCAUGGCCACAGGUAUGCACAUGAAAGGUACUGUUCAAAGCAAACACGUUAUUUUGAGAUUUUCUUAUAAGUACAGACAAGGUAUUGUAGGAAGUCCGAAGACAUUUGUUCCCAAAGAAAUACCAGCUUCAAACCAUCCCUUUCAAUUCAUCCAAGAUUUAACAGAGAUCUAAAAUGGGGAGAUGACAUCCAUAUGCUUGUCUGCAAAGAUGAUGGGGGAAACAUUAUGCAUGAGACGUACACACUGUCUUCAUUUCGCUCAAUUUCAUGGUUGGCAACACAUUAGAUAGCGUCGCACUCUAUUUAGAAGCAUAAAAUCCAUUGGCAUUCAAUAUUUCAACAAGGUGUUUCGAACCAAACUCAUUGCACAUUUGUAAAGCCAAUAUGAAAUGAAAAGCAGUAAAAACAAAUGGCA